AUGGCCUGGACUCCUCUGCUCCUCGUGCUCCUCUCUCACUGCACAGGGUCCCUCUCCCAGCCUGUGCUGACUCAGCCGCCCUCCCUCUCUGCAUCUCCGGGAGCCACAGCCAGACUCACCUGCACCCUGAGCAGUGGCUUCAGUGUUGGCAGUUACUGGAUACGCUGGUACCAGCAGAAGCCAGGGAGUUCUCCCCGGUAUCUCCUGAAAUUCUACUCAGACUCAGAUAAGGGCCAGGGCUCUGGGGUCCCCAGUCGUUUCUCUGGAUCCAAAGACGCCUCGGCCAAUGCGGGGCUCCUGACCAUCUCGGGGCUGCAGCCUGAGGACGAGGCUGUCUAUUACUGUGACACAUGGGACAGCAGCUCUAAGACUCUCACAGUGGCCCAGACCCACAGGGAAGUGAGACAAAAACCUCCUCUCCGCUCUCCUGGCCUGACCUUGGCCCCUGCUGGCGGCUCCGCCCAGGUCUGGCUCAGCCGUGACUGUGCUGAUAGGUGUCCAUCCGGCACCGUGUGGUGCUUGGACCCGAGGUCCUGA